rnacentral:ncRNA from 1 species
UUGAAUAGUAGGAUAGGAUCUAGUACGUGCUCUCAGGCAUGUGAUGGUCCUGUCUUGUACACACGCCCGUCACUAUUCAGAUGUCAUAGGAUGAAGAGCUUCGGCUCUGAUAUCUAUGGCUAGAUAAAGUACAAGUCGUAACAAGGUUUCAGUUGGAGAACCAGCUGAAGGAUCAUUU